rnacentral:tRNA from 1 species
UGGAGCAUAGUUCAACGGUUAGAACGCACGACUGAUAAUCGUGUAAUGAAAGUUCGAUUCUUUCUGCUCCAACCA